rnacentral:lncRNA from 1 species
CCACACAAUGUGAUAUUAUCAAUUUAUCACUCUGCUUUCGUGAAGGGAGUUCAAACCAACUUCAAGAUUGAACCAUCUUUUGGAGUUGAAGCCUCGCAGCUUUAUCCUGAUGUCAAGUACACUACAGUUGAUGAGUACCUCAAUCAGUUUGUGUAACCCUUCUCUGUUUCCAGCUGCAGCUUGCAGGAUCUUGGACUCUUGGUAAAUAAAUAAUUGGCUUGUUGCCAUCUUUGGUUUUAUAUGUAAAAAUUAUGGUUGUUGGCCUUACUUUCUUCUGGUUGUCCAUGGAAUUUGUUAGACCAUAUUAUGUUUGCUAUGUCAGUGAUCAAAUGAAGUAGGCCAUGUACUUGAUUUGAGAGUAGUAGUUAUAAAGCCAUCAUGAUCAGGUGGGUGCGUGGGUUGGGCUUCUAUUAGGGUGCUUGUGUUGGGCUUCAGGGGCUUGUGAUAUGGCUUCGACAGCCCCUAACGGGCAGUCAUUAUAAAAAUAAUUAUAGAGUUACAAAUCUAUGUAAAAAGCAAAAAUUAAAAGUAAUUUAUCAAUAAAAAUAAUUAAAAUUAAUAAAAAGUAGGUAUGAUAUUUCAGAAAUUAAAUUAAAGAUAGUAUUCUAAAGAGUUGGAUAAUCCUCCAACUAAACUAAAGAUCUAGUACAUUUGAGAGCAAAUUUAAUUAAAGAAAAGGAUAAGGAAAAACAAUAGAAUAAUAAUAUUAAAAAUUGCAAAUCUUGGUCUUUUUUUUUUACGAUGAUGUUGAAUUCUUAUAAAUUUAAUCUUAUCUAUAGAAUUAUUUAGUUACUGUAUGUCAAAAUUUCCUAUAAAGAUGAAGAAAAAUUAUAUUAGGAGAAGAUCCAAAUCCGUUUAACUGAUGCAUCAUCAACAACAUGAGUACAACAUUUUCGAAUAAACAAAAGAAACUCGUUUUAUGUGCGAACCAGUUCCAAAAUAAAGAGCAGACUAUUGGAAGGAGACAAAUACUACAAGAAGAACAAAACAUUCUACAGUUCCUACAUGAGCCCGCAACAAUUAAUUAUUAACUCGACAUUCAUUACACUUUUUCUUUAAUUUGACAAAGAAACCAAAAAUAAGAUAAAAUUGACUAAGAAAUAAAAAAAUGACCAAAAUCUUUUUGAAGUUUUGCCAGUUCAGCCAUGCACGCUUAUCUUUAUUCACUUGUUUCCUUUCUUUCCUUUCUUUCCUUUCUUUGCUGAAGCCUUCACAGAUCCUUUACCUUUCUGAGCCUUGCCAAUUUUCCCCUUCUUCAAACCACCUGGCCUUGCUGGAUCCACGUGUCCUUGCAUCCUUUUUCAUUCGUGGAUCAACAAGAAUCUUCCCCUUUCCAGCUCUCUCUUGAACUCCUUUCUUUGGGACCAGUAUUCUUUUGUCGGCCUUUUGGGUAUAGUUGUCUUGUAUAAUUGUUCAAUUUGAUUCCUCUUCGAACGAUCAGAGAUGUCCGCUUAGUCUGAUAUGACAUUUGCCUUCUUGCGAACCUUCUCAAGAUUUCGCAUGGCAACCCGUAUCUUUCGAGCUUUGGUCUUAGCCACCUUCUUGGCAGUAUGGGUGGGCGAUUCGGUUUUGGGAUAAACUUUUGGUUUCGUAUCGGUUUAGAUUAAAAAAUAAUAUAAAAAAAUAUUUAGAUUUUAAGGGAAAAAAUCCGAACCGAGACUCACCUAUCGAUUUCGGCUCGGUUUCAGUUCAGUUUUGAUUCUCCUAAUAGUUUUAUUUUGCCUUAUUGACUUCCGGUCAAUGACACUUUUGAAAAAUUUACAAAAAAAAAAUAAAAAAUGGCCAUAACAAAAUUUCUAUAUGCAAAUAUUUCCUAAACAUUAGGCUAUACUAAAUUUUUUUAAAAGGUAGGGAUCCAAACGAUAUUAUCCCUCUACUUCAUCUUCAACCUUCGUCAUUAGGGAUGGCAAAAUCCGAGUUCGGGUCCGGGUUUAGCCAUUCGGGAUCCGGACCCGGAUGAAUAUUUUCUGUACCAGACCCGAAAAUAAACCCGCAUUUUUCCACUUCGAGUCCGGUACGGGUUCAACCCGAAAAAAUUCGGGUUCCCUGACUGCGGGUUUCCAACUCGGAUUGAUGAAUCCAAUUGAAAAAAAAAAACUAAAUUCAACUAAAAAAAUCAAAUAGAAAUACAUAUCCAGGAUUUUAGCAAAUCAAAGAAAAAUUAUUUCAUCUGGAAACUAAUUAACAAAAACAACAAUUUUGUUUGGCUGCCCAGAAUCAGCAACCCAAUGUGGCGGCUCGUUCAAAACAUUAGUGUUUUCAACAGAUUUUGGGGUAGGAAAAGCCAAACCUAUCUAGAACAAUGAAUUUGUAUUUUUGGGGGAGAUGAGGUACCUCACUGGUUUGUUGUGUGCGGUGCAGUGUAUCUUAAAUUUGGGGGAUGUGAGAAGGGGAGAGGGAGUGGUAAUAAUGGUGAAAGGUCAAAACCAAUAGAGAUGUCCUUCAAAAUGAGCUUCACACCUGUAAAACAGUGAAAUAAAGGUUAGAGGUGAAGCUGGGGUAUCCCGGUGUUCACACUCCGACGCUCAAGUUAGCAAACUCAAGCUUUUAUGACAAAGAGAACUGGCUAGCCCUCUGUAAAUUAGGGUUUAAGGUUCAAGGAAACCUAUUUUUUGGAAUGUGAGUGUUAAUGGUGAGUGAGAGACCUCUCGGAGAAUGAAACUUAUGCGCCUUUAUAUAUGGAGUACCUCAGCUGCCACGUGACGUACCCUUUUUGGCUAACGUCAUUUUUCCUUUUUAUGAUUUUUGGGUCGUUAUGUUCAUGUUCGCCGGGUAUCUCAUCUUUUAGAAACGUGGCGCGCGCUGGAGAGUGGUCCAGGGUACCUCUGCAGUAGCUGUCGGGUAGGCGGCUGAGGACCACUGUCCUUGGGACAGUGUCCUUCACUUUUGGUAAAGGUGACAUGCGGUUGUCCCCCCUUUUAACACGACAUUUUUUAUUCCUAAUUAUGACAAAAUCAAAUAAUAUCUUUUAAGAGAUGGAGACGUUUCUCAUGGUGGAUAUUUUCGGAAGAUUCUCUUGCAUCUGAUCAGCCGGGUUCCUCUAAUUACGCAGGGUACCUCAAUUUAUGUGGGGUACCUCUAAUUUUAUGGGGUACCUCUAUUUGCGCAGGGUACCUUGAAUCAUGCCAAGUACCUUAGAUUAUGCGGAGUACCUCUAAUUGUGCGGGAUACCUCUAUUGCGCUAGGUACCUUGAAUCAUGCCGGGUACCUCAGAUUGUGCGGGGUAUCUCUAUUUGCGCAGGGUACCUUGAAUCAUGCUGGGCACCUCAGAUUGUGCGGGGUACCUUGAGUCAUGCGAGGUACCUCUAAUCAGGCCAGGUACCCUCUAAUUGUGCUGAGUACCUAUAAUCAUGCAGGGUACCUCUAAUUAGGCCGGGUACCUCUAAUCAGGCCGGGUACCUUAGAUUGUGCGGGGUACCUCUAUUUGCGCAGAGUACCUUGAAUCAUGCCGGGUAUCUCAGAUUGUGCGGGGUACCUCAAAUUGUGUGGGGUACUUCUAAUCGUGCGGGGUACCUCUAAUCAUGUCGGGUACCUCGGAUUGCACUGAAGUUAUUCCAUUCGUUGACACGUGGCGUUAUGCUAUCUUUCUUAUUUUUCCCCCAAACAACAUCCCUCUAGUUUCUUUUGGCAAGAAGUUUUGGAGGCAAAAGAAACUUACAUAAAAAGUAGAAGCGACACGUGGCGAUAUGAUGUUUAGCUCGAUGGGUAACUAAAUAGAGGGCGCCUUUAGGGGUACCCUGAGAACCCAAAAAGGGAAGAUGGGCUCCAUUUCCUCGGAAAUGGCUACCACUUUGGACAUGUUGGAAAGGAUAGAGCUAAUUGAUCAAAAAAAUUUCAUCUAUUUCUGGGGAAGAACACCAAAUACGGGUAGAGGGUAUCGUUAGGGUACCCCACCAUUAUCCAUAGUUUGUUUUCUAGUGACUGACAUGUAUAAAUCGCUCUGGUGAAGGCUUCAAUACAUUCUUUGGGCAUUUAAGAAGCAAUUAUUUGAUUAUCUCGGGAUCCACCUUAUUUAAGGGUAUAUUUCCUUCAUGUACUUUGAAGACAAAAAUAAAAUCACAGGGCUUUCUUCCUUGUAACUUCAGAGGUACCCUCGACAGAAGAAUAUAGUCGACAAUGCUUUUAAGCGUAUCAUGAUCGAGGAAUGGAGUGCUGAUCUGGGGUUGGUGGUGCCAAGAGUGGAGAAGAUGGUAGAUGAACCGGCUAUCUUGAAGGCGAUUAACGAUAGCGGGGCUCUCAACACAUCUUGGUCUGAAGGGGUAAUGCAAAUAAGUUUACGUUGAUUGGAUAUUCAGAAGAAGUAAUACGCCAUUAAAAGCAACAAGUUUUCCAAAAAGCCAACAAAGACAGACACCACCACACCACCCCGCACUGGAUGAAAAACGAUGAAAGCAUGAUAAGUGGCAUCGAGUAAGCCACGUUCUCUCUCUCUCUCUCACUCGCACUCGCACUCGCACUCGCACUCGCACUCGCACACACUGUUACUAAGGUAGUGUUUACUUUCUGGAGUGGGAGUGUGGAGUGUGGAUUCCUCCCACUCCAGUGUUUACUUACCUUAAAAAUGGGGAGAGUGGGAGUGGGAAUCCGUGGGUCCCACCUAAAUUUGGAGUGGGGAGUGGGAUUCCCACUCCCAUUGGGGGAGGUGGGAGUGGGAAUCCACUCCCCCCUCUUCCCAUUUUAUCCUUAUAAAAUUAAAAUAAAUAAAUAAUAUUUAAUAAAAUAAAUAAAUAAUAUUUAAUAAAAUAAAUAAAUAAUAUUUAAUAAAAUAAAUAAUAUUUAAUAAAAUAAAUAAUAUUUAAUAAAAUAAAUAAUAUUUCAUAAAAUAAAUAAUAUCAUAUUUAUUAAAAAUAAUAAUUAUAUCAUAUUUAUUUUAUUAAAUUUAAUAAAAUAAAUAAAUAUUAUAUUUAAAUUAAUAAUAUUAAACAUUAAUUUUAAUAAAUAUUAAUUAUUUAUUUAAUUAAUAAUAAUAAAUAUUUUAUUCUAAAAAAUAUUAAUUUUGUACUAUAUUAUCAAUAAUAAUAUUUCAUUUGUGUUGCUAUUAUUAAUAAUUUUUAUUCACAUAAUUUAAAUUAAAAUUAAUAAAAAAUUAUGAUUUACAUAAUUAAGAAUAUUAGUAAUUAUUAUUAAUUUAUAAAUAUAAUAAAAUAUUUAUUUUAUUUUCCAAAUAUAUUUUUUAUUAAUUUUUUAAUUACAAAUUAUAAUUCUGUACAUAAGGAUAAAAUUGUAAUUUAAAACAAUUUACUCUCAAUCCAAGACAAAGUAAACAAAUAAUUAGGAUUCUAAUUGACAAUCCAUACUUUCAUUUAGUCUAAGUAAACACCCUACUCCCACUCCCACUCCACACUCCUAAUCCAAGGAUUCCCACUCCUCAGGAUUCCCACUCCAAUCCAAAAAGUAAACGCAGCAUAAAAUGACCAAAAAUAAGAUUCCCCUCAAAAUAUUUUCAAGUAUCGUUCUUGAAAGUGGCGGCGGCUGAUGAUGAUGAACACAGCCGCGAUUGCGAUUGGCGAAGGCGGCGUUCAGCCCGUAUCACAGAUAGUUAUCGGUCGCGGCAGAAAAGAUAAUGAAACGACGGUUGAUGAUGAUGAUGAUGAUGUUGAACAGCCGCAAAUAUGGGUAAGUGAUGCGACAAUGAUUUGAUUUGAUGAAGAUGAGCUGAAGAUGGAAUAAGAGAGGAAAUGUUUGUGCGGCUGGGAAAGUGUAAUGAGCUGCUAGGGCACCAUUUGGGUUUUUUUGCUUUCCUAUUUAUAUUAAAAAUAAUUUUUAAAAAUUAAUAUAUAUCCGGGUUCGGGUUUUGGAUGUACGGGUUUACCUAGACCCGGACACAUGCGGAUUCAGCAGCACCGACCACCCACAGACUUGGAUUCGAUUGCAAAGUUGGGACUUAGGAUUUGGGUUUGUGGCUGCUGAAACAGAAAGUGAGAGAGUAGAAAGUAGAGACUGAGAGUGGUGCAAACAUGUGUAAUUUUGUGUGUGUGUCUAUAUAUAUAUAUAUAAUGUGAAAUUACAAAAAUGCCAUUAUAUCAGUUCAAUUCGAAUUUUGUAACUUGUGAUCCAAAAACUGAACCAAACCGAACCAUUUGGUUUGGUUUUUAUAUAUUCAGGUUUUUAAUUUAAAAAAACUAAAUUGAAAUUGAAAGAACUAAACCGAACCGAAUUUUUUUUUUUUUUGUUUCGGUUCAAUUAUGCCCAUCCCUACUUAGUAGGCUGGGCAUCAAUUUCUUUGAAUUGUGCUUUCAUUGCAGUAAUCUCCUCCUUGGUAAUAGGUUUAAUUGCUUGCUGAUGCCUCCUUUCCUCUAGUAACAACUAGUCUAACAAGCCAUCAUCGUCAAACAUGUACCUAUUAUAAGCAUCAUCCAGAAUUUGCUCUCUUUGCUUUUUGCUUAGUGUCUUCUUUGCACAAGCUAUUAUCUCAGCUUUUGUAUCAAUAUCUUUAUCUUUUGAUUCACCAGAGGAUGAAUCAUCACCGGAAUAGAGUGGUGAAGGCCCCAUAGAUUAGUGUGAUCAAGUUCUAGUGUAGUUUUGGUUUUGAUUUCAGUAUUAGGAAAAUGAAGCCUAUGAAAUUUACUAAGCUAACAUGCUUCACAAAAGUGCUUUAAUACUUGAAGAGGAUAAAUGAGGAUAAAUAAAUUUAAAUAUACAUUAGAUUUUGAGGGUUGGGAUGUCAAAACUUUUGGUGAAAAAGAGUUAGUACAAGCAUUUUUAUUGAGAUUGAAAACAUUUCUUAAGAUGAUCAAUACUAGUUACAAAAUUGGAAUGAAAAAAAAAGGCAACAUAGACAAAGGUUUGUUUAUUUGAUUGUAAGAUAGAAAAGACUUGUAUUUAGGUUGUGGAAAGGAUUUGAGCAGCAAUUUAUACAACCUUUUCUCAGCAAAACCUUCCUCUUCAAUGAAUCCUUCACAAAACAAAUAGAUCCAAGAAAUUCGACAAAUAAAUUGUUGUCAAUGGUAAGUUUUGAAAUGCUCAAUAGAUUCUUUGUAAUGGAUGGAACAAACAGUACAUCCUUAAGUAAAAUAUGUCUUAUAUUAUCUUUUUUUAAUUCUUUUUUAAAAAAUAAGUGAAUAAUAGUAUGUCAAUCUCAAAUAUCAAUAUGUACAAUUUUUAUUUGUGUAAGAAUUUGCAUCCAAUAAUCAUCAAUACAUAAUUGUCUUUUAAUUGAAUGGUUCUCACCUCCCUUCCAAACUUUGAAAAGGUAAAAUAAGAUCAAUCAUGUCAGUGGCAAUUAAUAUAAAGAUUACUUUUCUUAUUUGUAGUAACGUCCUCUGAUUAUUUAGCUGAUUUUCAAGCUACACAUUUAUUCCAUUUGAUGUUGAUAUUAGUAAAAUUAAUGUAAUAUUUAAAAAGGAAAAAAAUCCGUCGAGCUAAAAGCCGAGUAUAAAAUUGAACUGGACCCAAACCAGAAACGCACGCCAACAACAUGCUUGCGUUAGUCGGCCCAUGCCCAUAAACCCACCAAGCCCGAUCCAAAUAGAAAAAUGAAUUGGACACCCGAGAUAGCAGAAACAGAUAAGUAACGGUCGUGCUAUCCCCAAUCUCAUAUCUUCAACGGUAUCCAGCCAACAUCUCAAAGUGUUCAAUUUUUUUUUAAGCCAAAAAAAAAUUCAAAAUUUUCAAGCGGAAUCUGGGAAGAUGGCGAUGAAAAGCAAGAUUCUGGUUAUCGGCGGAACCGGAUACAUCGGUAAGUACUUAAGGUGCGUUUGAAAUUGAGGUUGAACAACUAUAACUUUAAAACUGCAGCACUAAAAUAUUUGGUAAACACUAACUGUUGUAACUUAAAAGCUAUUUAAUAUAAUUUUUCAUUUGUAUAAUAAAAAAUUUAUUAUCUUUAAUAAUUUUGUCAAAAUUAUUAUUUAAAAUAUAUACAGUAAGAGAGAUUGUAACAUUUUCAAUCUUUGGUUUGAUAUUCUGGAAGAAAACGGUUUGCCGUUUACGGAGAAAAUGGCUAACCGUUUAAUUUCAUAGAGCAUGUUUUCUAUUCUAGAGAAAACGACUAACCGUUUGGAGAAAAUGGCUAACCGUUUGGAGAAAACGGCUAACCGUUUUGAGAAAACGGCUAACCGUUUAAUUCCAGAGAGCAUGUUUUCUGUUCUAAAGAAAAUGACUAACCGUUUGGAUAAAACGACCAACCAUUAAUUACAGAGAGUAACUUAUUUGACAUUCUGGAAUAAAACGGCUCACCGUUAUUGAGAAAACGGCUAACCGUUUAUUUCCAGAGAGCGUGUUUUUGCGUCAACUGGAAAAACGGUUAGCAAGCUUGGAAAUUUCAAUUGUCAAUCGAUGCAAACUCAAACCAAAAGAGUGUUUUUUAAAAGAAGUACCAUUUUUAAUGGUUGUAUUCUUUCAAAUAAACAUCUUCUUUAUUAAAGAUAGACAAACUAUUAUAUCAUAAUCAGAUUUUGCAGGUUUCAUAUAUGUUCUGGAAAUACAAUCUUAUUUUCUAGAGAUUGUAUUCAGGAUUUGAUAUAUCUUAGGGGUAAUUUGCCAUUAAAACUCUAUAGCAAACCAAGAUUGGUGAGGGCAAAUAAAACCUUAAAGAAAAGUGUGCAAACACGUCUCAAAUCCUAAGAUCUUUUCUUUGUUCUUUGCCUCCAUAUUCUUAAAAUUUGAAAAUUCACCCAUCAAUCUUUAAGGUUUUAUUUUGAUGCAAAUAGAGGCUGAGAAGAGUUUGACGCCAUUUCUUAAUCCUAGUGUCCAUCUCGAUCGUUUUGAUGGAACAAAUUUCACUCGUUGGAAGGGAAAAUUGUUCUUUCUUCUUACUGUUCUUAAAGUGACAUAUGUUCUUGAUCCGAAAUUGGAACCAUUUCCAGAACCAAGAGAAGAUGAUACCGAAGUUGUUAAGGCUGCAAGGAAACGUCGUGAAGAUGAUGAAUUGAUGUGCCGGGGUCACAUACUCAAUACGCGUUCUGACAGGUUAUAUGAUCUCUACAAUUUUAUGACUUCUCUGGUGGAAAUUUGGAAUGCUCUUAAGUACAAAUACAAAACGGAGAAAGAAGGUACUGACAAAUUCCUUGUCUCUAAAUAUUUUGAAUUUAUUAUGGUAGACACACAAUCCAUUCUUGAUCAAAUACAUGAGUUAUAAAUUAUUGUUGCUAAGCUUCGAGAGUUAAAAGUUGAAAUUUUUGAAUCAUUUCAAGUUGGGACUAUUAUUGCUAAAUUGCCUCAAAGUUGGAAUGAUUAUAGAAAGAAACUCCUUUAUAGUAAAGAGAACAUAACUUUAGAAGAAUUGCAAAAACACUUGGUAAUUGAAGAAGAGACUAGGUCUCGCGAAUCCAAGGAUAAGCAUGAUUCUACUAAAGUUAAUGUUCUUGAAGCUAGUAAAUUCUCAAAGAAUUUUAAAGUCAAGAAUGACAAGAAAUUUAAGAAGUCCAGCACACAAAAGUUUUCUGGAAAUUGUUUCUUUUGUGGUAAGAAAGGUCAUCGCCCAAGUGAUUGCAGAUUCAAGAAAAAAAAAGGAAGAAGUGAAUUCCUAUAAAGCUAAUGUUAUUGAAAACAAAUCUGAAAAGAUUUGUGCUAUGGUUUCUGAAAUGCAAAUUGGCAUGAUUAUCGAAACCAAUAUGGCUGAAACUAAGUCCUAUGAUUGGUGGCUCGAUUCGGGUACAACAAUUCAUGUUUGUAAUGAUAAGAAAUUUUUAUUAUCAUACAAAGAAGAAACGGAAGGACAAAUGGUUCUCAUGGGGAACAAUAAUGCAGCCAUAGUAGCAGGGAAAUGAGUAGUUGAGAUCAACUUCACUUCUAGAAAGAAAGUCACAUUGUAUAAUGUCUUUCAUGUACCUUUCGUUAGGAAGAAUCUUAUUUUUGCUAGUUGUAUGUGUAAGCAUGGGCUUAAGAUUGUGCUUGAGGGUAAUACUUGUAUUAUCUCAAAGAAUGAAUUAUUUGUUGGGAAAUGGUAUUCUUGUGAUGGAAUGUACAAACUCAACAUUAAUAAUAAUAAUAUCAACUUAGCUUAUAUUGUUGAGUCUUGUGAUGUUUGGCAUGCUAAAUUAGCACAUUUGAAUUUUAGAUCUUUGAAAUACAUGUCUGAGCAUGGUUUGAUUAAUUGCAAUGAUGUUAAAGGUCAUAAGUGUGAAAUCUGCAUCCAAGCUAAAUUAACUAAGAAACAUUUUCUUAAAGCCGAACGAAAUACUCAAAUAUUGGAUUUAAUAUAUACCGAUAUUUGUGAGUAUAAUGGCGUUUUAACAAGAGGAGGUAAGAAGUACUUUAUCACUUUUAUUGAUGAUUGUUCUAGAUACACUUAUGUGUAUUUACUUAGAACAAAAAAUGAAGCUUUUGAUAAAUUUAAAAUUUUCAAAGCUGAAGUUGAGAACUAAAAAGAUAAGAAAAUCAAAAUGGUUCGUAGUGAUAGAGGUGGUGAAUAUUUCUCAAUUGAAUUUAAUAAUUAUUGUGAAGAAUUUGGAAUUAUUCACCAAAGAUCAGCUCCAUUUACUCCUCAACAAAGUGGUUUGGCUAAAAGAAAGAAUAAGAUCUUCACGGAUAUGAUAAAUUCCAUGAUCCUUAAUGCAAAACUACCAAAUAAUUGGUGGGAGGAAGCAUUACUCACUGCAUGUCAUAUUCAUAACAGAAUUACAUCUUUGAAAACACAUAUAUCUCUUUAUGAAAUUUGGAAAGGAAGAAAACCAAACUUGAUGUAUUUAAGGGUCUAGGGUUGUUUAGCUUUUUAUAAAAUACAUGAUCCUAAAUCAUCAAAGUUAAGUGCUAGAUGUAUAAAGAGUGUUUUCGUAGGAUAUGCUGAAAAUUCCAAGGCUUAUAGGUUGUUAGAUUUAGAUUAUAAUGUGAUUGUGGAAUCUAGAGAUGUUGAAUUUAUUGAGAAUAAAUUUCAACAUGAUUCUAAUAUUGAAUUAGAAUCAAUUAUUGAUCAACCAUGUGUUAAUACUCCUGUUACCUCCACUAACAAUAAUAAAAGGAAAGACUCUAUGACAUCUUUCGAACCAAUGAGGAGUCAAGGUGAAAAGAAAGAAAAGAGUUUAGCUCCGAAUUUUAUUUCAUCACAAGCACUGCUCUUCUUGGUUGAAGGGGAUAGAAAGAAUGUACUUAACAAAGUACCAUUGUUGUUAAAUAUUGAAAAAGAUCCAAAGACAUUUAGCGAAGCUAUGUCUUCUAGAGACGCUUCUUUUUGGAGAGAGGCGGUAAAUGAUGAAAUUGAUUCGAUUAUUUCGAAUCAAACAUGGGUCUUGGUUGAUCUUCCUCUAGGAUCUAAACCAAUUAGCAGCAAAUGGGUAUUUAGAAGAAAGUACAAUAGUGAUGGUUCUUUGCAAACUUUUUAGGCUAGAUUAGUAGCCAAAGGGUUUAAGCAAAGAAAUGGUAUUGGUUAUUUCGAUACAUAUGCUUCGGUAGCAAGGUUAACUUCUAUAAGAGUGCUAUUUGCAAUUGCUUCAUUGAAUAAUUUGUAUGUGCAUCUAAUGGAUGUUAAAACCGCUUUUCUUAAUGGUGAUCUUGAUGAAGAAAUCUAUAUGGAACAACCUGAGGGAUUUGUUUUACCAGGAAAUGAGAAAAAAGGUAUGCAAGUUAGUCAAAUCACUUUAUGGUUUAAAGCAAGCACCAAAACAAUGGCAUGAGAAGUUUGAUUCGGUAAUUUUAUCUCAUGGUUUUAAGCAUAAUAAUGCUGAUAAAUGUAUAUAUUUUAAAUUUACGAAUGAUUUUGGUGUGAUUAUAUGCUUGUAUGUUGAUGACUUGCUUAUCUUUGGAACAAAUAUGCAAGGAGUAGAUGAUACAAAGAAGUAUUUAACUUCACAAUUUAAGAUAAAAGAUCUUGGUGAAGUAGAUACUAUCUUAGGUGUCAAAGUGAAGAAACAUAGUGGGGGUUACUCGUUGUGUCAAUCUCAUUAUAUAGAGAAAGUGCUUCUUAAAUUCAAUUAUUUGAAAUUUAAAGAAGCUAAUACCCCAUAUGAUUCUAGUAUUAAAUUAUUAGAGAAUUCAGGCCGAGUAGUAGCACAACUAGAAUAUGCUAGUGCUAUUGGUAGCUUGAUGUAUGCUAUGCAUUGUACGAGGCCUGAUAUAGCAUUUGCAGUUUGCAAAAUGUCAAGAUUCACGAGUAACCCUAGUGUUGAACACUGGAAAUCAAUUGGUAGAAUACUUGGUUAUCUUAAAAGGACCAUUAAUUUGGGUUUGUUUUAUAAUGAUUAUCCUGAAGUACUGGAAGGAUAUUCAGAUGCUAGUUGGGUAACCAAUAUAAGAGAUAAUAAAUCCACUUCUGGUUGGAUUUUUACAAUUGCUGGAGGAGCAGUUGCUUGGGCUUCAAAGAAACAAACGUACAUAACUCAUUCAACAAUGGAAAGUGAGUUUAUAGCACUCGCAGUUGCAAGCAAGGAAGUAGAAUGGCUGAGAAAUUUGUUGUUUGAUAUAAUGUUAUGGCCACAACCGAUGCCAUCUAUUUCUUUGUACUGCGAUAGUGAAGCUACAUUGUCUAGAGCUUAUAAUAAAGUGUAUAAUGGAAAGUCUAGACAUAUUAGCUUGAGACAUGAAUAUGUGAAACAAUUAAUAGCAGAUGGUGUUAUUAAUAUUGUUUAUGUUAGGACUAAUAAGAACCUAGCGGAUCCUUUAACAAAAGGUCUUACAAGAGACUUAGUUAAGGAUACAUCUUUUGGAAUGGGAUUGAAACCUUUAAAUAAUAAAGUCACCAACGACGAUAACCCAACUAUGUAGUAGUUGCACCGCUACUCCAUAGUUAAAUGGAUAAUAACAAGUUGUUGUUAUGUGACUGGUUUGGCACCGAGUAAUAAAUAAUCACAUUCGAGAUAUUCGGUGCAAAUAGCUACGAGGUUGAGGUUGAGUAUUUACUCUUAAUGAAGUUCAAGUCUUAUACUAGCUAAAGACAUGAUUUGAAACUUCACCUAAGUGAACAUAAGAAAUGGUGCCGUUUCUAACAAGAUCAUGGUUUAAUCUAGUAAAUGUUCAUGAAUCCAAGAUAGAGCACAAGGCCGGAAUAGUGCUAAAUAUUGGAACACAACUUUGAAAAUCUGGGAUAGCUUAUAUGUGAUGUAUCUCCGGUAUUUACUUAAGAGACAAAGUUUAAUGCUUAGCACACUAUUGUUUUGUAAAUGCUUUGAAAUACACUCACUAAUUAAAGGUUAAAAUCGAAAGAUAUCUUUUUGUAUGUAUAAGUUUAUCAUUAAUAAAUAUGAAAAAUAUUACAAUCUAGUGGGGGAUUGUAAGAGAGAUUGUAACAUUUUCAAUCUUUGGUUUGAUAUUCUGGAAGAAAACGGUUUGCCGUUUAUGGAGAAAACGACUAACUGUUUAAUUCCAAAUAGCAUGUUUUCUAUUCUAGAGAAAACGACUAACUAUUUGGAGAAAAUGGCUAACUGUUUAAUUUUAGAGAGCAUGUUUUCUGUUCUAGAGAAAACGGCUAACCGUUUGGAUAAAACGGCCAACCGUUAAUUACAGAGAGCAACUUAUUUGACAUUCUGGAAUAAAACGGCUCACCGUUAUUGAGAAAACGGCUAACCAUUUAUUUCCAGAGAGCGUGUUUUUGCGUCAACUGGAAAAACGGUUAGCAAGCUUGGAAAUUUCAAUUGUCAAUCGAUGCAAACUCAAACCAAAAGAGUGUUUUUUUAAAGAAGUACCAUUUCUAAUAGUUGUAUUCUUUCAAAUAAACAUCUUCUUUAUUAAAGAUAGACAAACAAUUAGAUCAUAAUCAGAUUUUGCAGGUUUCAUAUAUGUUUUGGAAAUACAAUCUUAUUUGCUAGAGAUUGUAUUCAGGAUUUGAUAUAUCUUGGGGGUAAUUUGCCAUUAAAACUCUAUAGCAAACCAAGAUUGGUGAGGGCAAAUAAAACCUUAAAGGAAAGUGUGCAAACACGUCUCAAAUCCUAAGAAUUGUUUUUUGUUCUUUGUCUCCAUAUUCUUAAAAUUCGAAAAUUCACCCAUCAUAUACAUACUACAUAUUAUUAAUUUUUGUUUUAUAACUAUAGUUUUUUUUUUACCGCAACUGUAGUUUAAAAACUGCAGCACCUCAAUCCCAAAUAAGACCUUAGUAGAAGUGAGCGCGAAAGCCGAUCACCCAACAUUCGAGCUUGUGAGAGACUCCACUCUCUCCACUCCUUCCAAAUCCAAAAUCCUCGACCGUUUCAAAAAUCUCAGCGUCAAUUUAGUUCAUGUGCGCCACUCUUUUAGCUUUCCAAUUUUCCCGCCAAUUUUCUUUUAUUGUGAUUAAUUAAUUAAUUAAUGUAAAGAUUUUAUAUUAUAAUUUUGUUUGCAGGGAGAUCUAUACAGCCAUGAGAGCUUGGUGAGUACAAUAAAGCAAGUGGAUGUGGUGAUAUCAGCGAUAGGUCGCACUCAAUUAGCUGAUCAACUCAACAUUAUCGCAGCAAAUUGCGAUAACUAAGUACUUGGGAUUUUAAAGAAGCUGGAAAUGUUAAGGUUCUGAUUAACUUAAGUAAAUGCGUUAACUAAUUACUUGGGAUUUUAAAUUCAAAUGUGUGAAUUGUUCUAAAAAAUUAUUUAUGUUUAUUAGUCAGAGAUUCUUUCCUUCAGAAUUUGGAAAUGAUGUUGAUCGCGUGCAUGUCGUUGAGCCAGCAAGAACAUCAUUUGCCACCAAGGCUAAAAUCCGCCGAGCUGUUGAGGAUGAAGGAAUUCCAUACACCUACGUAGCUUCCAAUUUCUUCGCUGGUUUGUAUCUUUCCAGUUUCUCACAGCCUGAAGCCACAGCUCCUCCAAGGGAUAAAGUGGUCAUCGUAGGUGAUGGAAAUGCAAAAGGCAAAGCGCUUCUGGAUACAUUUACUCUGUACACGCAAUGUGUGGUUACUGUUUGGAGAUAAAAAAGGAGAUUAAUUAAUAAAGAAAAUGAAAUUAUUGAGGGAUUUGCUGAAGAGUUGCGUGCACUCCUCAUUUUUCUCCACCACUCAUCUUACUUGCAAAAUGCAAUGACCAAACUAUCCUCGCCAAAGCCUAGACAUUUACUUGUGUUCAAAGGCCAUUUAAGGGAGACAAGUACAAAAAGUUAUAAAGGAUAGUAAGCAGAAGAAGAAAAUGGAAAGGGGAGGGGGGGGGGGGGAGAAAGAAAAAAGGGAAUGGGGCGUUAUCUAGGGAGGAAUUUUAUUUUUAUUUUUUUUUCUCUCUUUCUCCCACUAAGAAAUUCUUUCUUUUACACUCUAUUUUACUUUUAUGUAAAUUAUGCAAAAAACUUUUGAUUUUAAGGCAAUGUUUAUUAAGCCACGUGAAUUUGAAAAAGCAUGAAUAAGGGGAUGAUUUUAACACAUUAAUUCACCAACAUUAAUUGGAAAAGAUCAGUUGCCACUUCGAAUCAGAGUAAUUUCUUCGGCAAUAGCCAAAUAUUGAUAUUUGAUCUUGACACUGUAGUUAAAUCAAUGUAACUGAUUUUGUCAUUUGAUCCCCAGUAAUUUUUAACAAGGAAGACGAUAUUGGAAUUAAUUCUAUCAAAGCGGUGGAUGAUCCAAGAACACUGAACAAAAUACUUUACAUCAGACCCCGUUGCAAUAUCUACUCAUUUAAUGAUCUUGUGUCUCUGUGGGAGGAAAAGAUUGGCAAAGCCCUUGACAGGGUCUAUGUUACAGAGGAACAACUUCUGAAAAACAUUCAAGGUUAGUUAGAACUAUCACUUUAUCAAGUGGAUAGAUGUAACUGACCGAUAAUGGAAAUUUUUUUCCUUCUCCAAAAUGCGAUAGAAUCUAAUCGGUUUCAACAAUCUCAAGAACACCUAUUCAUGGUUGUGUUGUUUGAAAUCUGUAUGUAUCAGUUUUCUUUCUAGAUCUCAGAUUGCUCGCAAGGAUGUCAAGUUUUGAUGAUGCUUGCCUGUUUUCCUGUGUUUACAGAAGCUUCAUAUCCACUCAAUAUGAUAUUACCUAUUGGGCACUCUGCCUAUGUCCUGGGAGAUCAGACCAACUUCGAAAUUGAACCUUCAUUUGGAGUAGAGGCAACAGAGCUUUAUCCAGAUGUCAACUACACUACUGUGGAUGAGUACCUCAACCAGUUCAUAUAAACCUUCUGAGAUGAGCAGCAGGAUCCUAACAAAAAAUUGGGUGGUUUCCAUCCCUGAUUCUAUGGUAUAAAGAUAGCGGCUUUCCCUGCUUUUGCCAGUUCAGUGAAGUUUGUUAGAUGAUGUUAUUUAUACUAUACUAGCAAAGAUCAAGUUGCCUUUCUUGUCAAGAAGCCAAGCUCUGGCAUUGGUUUAUGCUAGUUUUUCACACUAAUAUUGGUAUUCACUAAUUUUUUUUUUCAUUUCACACCUCCAUCAUCAGUGGAGAUGCCCUCUUGUAUGGUACUAACUUUGAUUUUCCUUAUGCUUCACUUGCUGUCUCUGCAGAUUCGUAAAAGAUCAUUCAUGGAUAAGAUCAGAACAUCAAUAUGAUACAGUAUGCAUUGAGAACUCCCACAUGAUUCUUGUUCUAGUUCUGGUUAGACAUGAAACAUGUUACAGUUCCAUAACUUGAGACAUUGUCAUUCAACAAUUAUCAUCACAUUAAAACAGUGGCCAAUCCCUAACAGCUACCUUUUGACUCUUCACAUUUUUUUUCUGCAUUUUAUGCGCAUUAAUUAUCUAGACCUAGACUUAUUACACUUCUCAGCCUGGCCCGUUGGACAGUGAGUGAUGAAACAAAUUUUUUUUCAUGUUUAUUACUUUUUUUGCAUUCAAAAUGAUAAAACUGCAGAGGUUGUUGCAUGCACGUCAUUUGUUAGUAGGGGUAUCAAUUUAUGAACGUAUGAAGUAUCUCUUCUGCACCGGCAUCCUCCUUAACUGUCAGUAGGAUCACAAUAAGUCGACCAACCAUCUACCGUAUGGAUUAUCUAUAAAUUGAAAUUGGUGUGUAUUAUGGAUCUGUCACUCUGCUGUUUCUGUUUUCUUUUCUAUUUUUACCAAGAAAGAAACAUUGUUAAAACUGAAUGGUUGUUAUCUCGUCUUGUUGUAAUGUUGUGUAUGCUUUCUAGAAAAUAAUGAAGUGCCAAAUAUGAAAAUACUAGUGGCUACCUUACCAUCCUUAAUAAGUUGUCUGAUUGUCACCGUCAACAAUCACUCUCAGCAACUCAUAAUCCAUUUAAGCAUAUUAUAAAAUAAUCAAUUUUGUAUUUGCACCAACUUUUAGUUUUAAAUGACAAUUUCGUUGAUCCCCACACUUCUGUACUAAUCAAAUCCACUGAAACUGGACUUUUUUUUCUUUUUUUUUAUAAUUACAUCGAUUGCAUUGGCUAUUGCAGGGAAAAGACUGCCUCUACAGGGAACUAAACUUUCAGAAUUGUUCUUAUGAGGGUUUGAAUAUGCUCUCGUACUAGGUCAAUGGCCUAUUGGUUCGAGACCAUUCACAAAGAAAGAAAUGAGUUUUGCUUGUAUAAAUGAAAGAAAUCCAAAUGAUAACUAAUGUAUAGUGGUACAUGAGAAAAAUAAUUUCAGCCCCUGUGUAAAGUCAAAAAGAGAAAAUAUUAAAAGAAAGGAUAAUGUCAUUGAGUUCGGUGAAGUGAAAGAAAAUGAAAAACAUGGGAUUUAGUCAAACUUAGUGUCCCAAUCAGCAGAAAAAGGUUUUAGAAACUCACCUCAAGUUAAGCCAACUAUUAGGAGCUUUAUUUAAUCAUGGCUUUCUAAUGUAUAGUACUCCAAUACUAAACGAGGGCUACCUCUACGCUUGCAAAUGUAAAUGAAAUUGAGUUCGUGACGCACAAUGAAGUGAGCAAAAUGAGUUGAGAUCUGAGAAUAUAUUAAAGAAAAUAUGAAUCAAUGAAUUUUGGUUAAAAAAAACAAAUGCUGGUUCUUCAAGACCUGCGUGUAUUGUGUAAGUUUUGUUAGGAGAAGGAAAGCAUUUUGGUCUAAAACGCACUAAAUCGGAUUCAUUUGCUUGAUAUCUAAUAAGGGUGAAUUAACCACUCGCCCACAGCAAUUCAAGUCCCCAAAAAAGUAUUGUGGGGGCUAAAUUUCUUCUUUAAUUAUAACAAAUAAUUGAGCGGAGGAUAAAAAUUUAGGCCAUGUAUAACAAUAACUAAUAUAAACUAGUCCUAAUAAUAGUAUAAUUGUAAAUAUCAGUUAUAGUCUCAUACAAUAUAAGUUUAUAGAUUAUAAUAUCGGCAUAAAAAGAAAAAUGAUAUCUGAGGGUCAAUCAAUAAAAGGACAAAAACUUGGAGUAACAUACCACAAAGUCAAUGUAGCUGGACAGAUGAAUAUAAUAUGUAAACAAAUUUAAAUGGGAUAAUACCAUACGGUACAUACAUAACAUUUUAAAACUGAAUUAAAAAAAUAAAAUUAAAACUGAAUUGGAAUUCGUAUGUGUAUCCAGCUACCUUGCCACAGUUGUAAGGUACCCUAACUUUGCAACAAUUUCAUCCUUCGUGCAUUCGGUCACAAAGUCCAAAUUAGGCACGUUUAAGAAUCGAACUGAAAAACUAAAAAAAAGAAUCCGGCGAUAUUUGCGAACCGGAAACGAGCCAGCGUUAUGCUUAUGUCAUUUCAGAGAUAUCAACAGUCGUGCUUUCAGUCCUUAAACCUCAAGGGCAUUUUCGUCCUUUCACUCAAGCGUGAAACUGCAUGUAAGAACUGCUUCGCUUACACGCUCCAUGCACAUUUAAAGGCACCACUGUCGGAUAAAAAAUAUCCAUCCAUUUGAUCAUUUCAAAACAAAACGAAAAAAAAAAUCUCAGUAAUUGAACUGAACGAGUCUCAGAAAUGGCAUCGAAAAGUAAGAUUCUAUUCAUCGGCGGGACAGGGUAUAUCGGUAAAUUCACUGUCGAAGCGAGCGUAAAAGCCGGCCACCCGACGUUCGUGCUCGUGAGAGAAUCCACAAUCUCUGGUCCUUCCAAAUCUCAACUCCUCGAUCACUUCAAAAACCUCGGCGUCAAUCUCGUCAUAGUGCGUUUUCAUUUUUCUCUUUUCUUAAUUUUUUAUUCCGAUCAUUUUUACACGUCGAAGUGUAGCAUCUACUACUUAAUAUACAUAAUGAUAUUAUUAUUUUUUAAUUUUUUUUGGUUGCUGUUAUUAUUAUGCAGGGAGAUGUGUUGAAUCACGAGAGUUUGGUGAAGGCGAUUAAACAAGUGGACGUGGUGAUAUCAACGGUCGGUCACACUUUAUUAGCUGAUCAGGUCAAGAUUAUUGCUGCCAUUAAAGAAGCCGGUAACGUUAAGGUAUAACAUAAUUAAUAUAAAUAUCUUGAAUUCCGAUCAGGAUUGUGCACUCGCGAACACGUGGUGAUUUAUUCUUGGUGUGGAGCUCGCUGUAGAGUAGAGCUCCCAGUUCAGCUAAUAAACACCCCGUCACAUGCGCAAUUGCGCCUCAAAAUAAUUUAAUUGAUUAAUUAAGGAUAAAUACCAAUGGCAUGAAAGCAAUUAAAAUUAGUUGAUGUUUAUAAAUUAUUUAUUACUCAGAGAUUCUUACCAUCGGAAUUUGGAAAUGAUGUUGAUCGAGUCGAAGGCGCCGUAGAGCCAACAAAAUCGACGUAUGACGUAAAGGCGAAAAUCCGCCGAGCCGUUGAGGCAGAAGGCAUUCCGUACACUUACGUAGAAUCUUAUUGUUUUGAUGGCUAUUUCCUCCCCAAUUUGUUGCAGCCUGAGGCCACUGCCCCCCCUAGGGAUAAGGUUGUCAUCUUAGGCGAUGGAAAUCCAAAAGGUAAUAUAAUUUAAUUAAGCUCUGUUUGUUUGGUAUGUAUUGCGGUGUUAAUGUUAUUGUCUGUUGUACAAUGGAUGGUCUUGCUUGGUACUGUUGUUGGAGAGCUGCAGUGUUUUGAUAAACACCUCUAUCCUUAGCUUUCAAGUUAAGUUGAUUUUAUACAACACUUGUUUAAUUCAAAACUUGUAAUAUUCUUACUACUUUGAUAAAAAAAUAUUACGAUUAAAGCAUUAAUGGCACCAUAAUACGAAAUGAAUCUUAAGUGGUCAUUAUAGAUUUUAAGAUAGAGUUUUAAGUGAUUACCAGAUACUUUAGCUGCUGAACCGCCACAUCAUGGUUGCCACACAACAAUUUCAAACAGAACCUAAAUAACUUCAUUGCAAAACAGUUAAAUGAAUCUAACUUAGUUUCGUCGUUUGAUUUUCAGCUGUUUUUAACAAGGAAGAUGAUAUUGGAACCUACACUAUCAAAGCGGUUGAUGAUCCGAGAACCUUGAACAAAAACUUUUACAUUCAGCCUCCCGGUAAUAUUUACUCAUUCAAUGAUCUUGUGUCUCUGUGGGAGAGAAAGAUUGGUAAAACCCUCGAAAAGGAGUAUGUUUCAGAGGAGCAGCUCCUAAAGAAUAUUCAAGGUUGGUUAAAACUCUCUUUUUUAAAUGUAUUAAAGAGAGCCGUAUAUUCUCUGCCGUAAAUGUCAUUGAUCCUGUCUUCUCCAAAAUGUUGCAGAAGCUGCACCUCCACACAAAGUGAUAUUAUCAAUUUAUCACUCUGCUUUCGUGAAGGGAGUUCAAACCAACUUCAAGAUUGAACCAUCUUUUGGAGUUGAAGCCUCGCAGCUUUAUCCUGAUGUCAAGUACACUACAGUUGAUGAGUACCUCAAUCAGUUUGUGUAACCCUUCGCUGUUUCCAGCUGCAGCUUGCAGGAUCUUGGACUGUUGGUAAAUAAAUAAUUGGCUUGUUGCCAUCUUUGGUUUUAUAUGUAAAAAUUAUGGUUGUUGGCCUUACUUUCUUCUGGUUGUCCAUGGAAUUUGUUAGACCAUAUUAUGUUUGCUAUGUCAG